GUCAGGUUGGCCGAGUGGUC
rnacentral:siRNA from 1 species